CCAGAAUUCAUAUGCUUGUCCCGAGGACUAAGCCAUGCAUGCCCCUGAACCGGGAAGGGAUGGCCGGGUGGGAGUACCGCCUUGCGGGGAACACCGGCCGGGCCGAUAAAUCAGCGAACGGCUCCGUAUAUCUGUUGUAACCUAUCGCGGUAAGUUUGACGUGGAUAUAGCACGGAAAAGCUGUGUAAAAAACAAAGAAUCCAGGGUAGACCCGGGCCUUGACACCGCCCGUGGGCUAAUGAGCGUGGCCGGGCUCCCGAACCAUGAAUCACCCGGCCGCUCGCCCUGUUAACCUCACCAAGUACAGCCGGCUUCCGGCCGAAACUGAGGCCUCUUCUUUGGCGCUACCCUCGGGCCCCCCCCCGCCCGGGGCGGGGGCUGAGAUGCCCGCCUGAACAGCACAGCGAAGAGACUAACCACGAGCGCGCGAUGGGCUUCAGACCUAUCAGCUAGAUGGUAGGGUAUAGGCCUACCAUGGCUAUGACGGGUACAGAGGAUUAGGGUUUGAUCCUGGAGAGGUAGCCUGAGAAAUCGCUCCCACUUCUAAGGAAGGCAGCAGGCGCGUAACGUUCCCAAUGCUAACCCCAGUGAGGACGUGAAGGGACAUAACAAUGCCCCCCUGAAAGGAGGGCGGGCAAUGGCAAUGGGCGGCC
rnacentral:rRNA from 1 species